GAUGAAGAACGUAGCGAAAUGCGAUAAGUAAUGUGAAUUGCAGAAUUCAGUGAAUCAUCGAAUCUUUGAACGCACCUUGCGCUCCUUGGUAUUCCGAGGAGCAUGCCUGUUUGAGUGUCAUGAAAUUCUCAACCUUUUCAGCUUUCUUUGUUGAUCAGGCUUGGAUGUGGGAGUGUGCGGGCUUCUCAGAAGUCGGCUCUCCUGAAAUGCAUUAGCGGGACCUUUGUUGCCUGGCUUUGGUGUGAUAAUUAUCUACGCCAUUGUAGUCAAGCAGCUUAAAAUGAGGUUUCAGCUUCUAACCGUCUCCCCUGAGACAACUUUUUGACAAUUUGACCUCAAAUCAGGUAGGACUACCCGCUGAACUUAAGCAUAUCAAUAAGCGGAGGA
rnacentral:misc_RNA from 1 species